rnacentral:tRNA from 1 species
GCCUCAGUAGCUCAAUUGGUAGAGCAGUGGCCUCUUAAGCCAUUGGUUCAAGGUUCGAGUCCUUGCUGGGGUAC